UGAUAAGGUGGAUCUUCAGAU
rnacentral:siRNA from 1 species